rnacentral:rRNA from 1 species
GACAGAGGUGCCAAGCGUUAGGCGGAAUCACUGGGCUUAAAGCGUGUGUAGGCGGAUGCCUAAGUACCUUGUGAAAUCCCACGGCUCAACCGUGGAACUGCUGGGUAUACUGGGUGUCUUGGGUCAGCUAGGGGUUGCCGGAACAAAUGGUGGAGCGGUGAAAUGCGUAGAUAUCGGAAGGAACACCUGUGGCGAAAGCGGCGCACUGGACCAAAACUGACGCUGAGGCGCGAAAGCUAGGGGAGCAAACAGG